rnacentral:rRNA from 1 species
GACGAACGCUGGCGGCGUGCUUAACACAUGCAAGUCGUGCGGUAAGGCCUAGCUUGCUGGGUACACGAGCGGCGAACGGGUGAGUAACACGUGGGUGACCUGCCCUCAGCUUCGGGAUAAGCCUGGGAAACUGGGUCUAAUACCGGAUAGGACUCUGCGCUGCAUGGUGUGGGGUGGAAAGGUUUUUCGGCUGGGGAUGGGCCCGCGGCCUAGCAGGUUGUGGGUGGGGUGAUGGCCUACCAAGGCGGCGACGGGUAGCCGGCCUGAGAGGGCGUCCGGCCACACUGGGACUGAGACACGGCCCAGACUCCUACGGGAGGCAGCAGUGGGGAAUAUUGCGCAAUGGACGGAAGUCUGACGCAGCGACGCCGCGUGGGGGAUGACGGCCUUCGGGUUGUAAACCUCUUUCGCCAUCGACGAAGCUUCUGGUUUUUGCUGGGGGUGACGGUAGGUGGAGAAGAAGCACCGGCCAACUACGUGCCAGCAGCCGCCGUAACAC